rnacentral:rRNA from 1 species
AAAUUGAAGAGUUUGAUCAUGGCUCAGAUUGAACGCUGGCGGCAGGCCUAACACAUGCAAGUCGAACGGUAGCACAGAGGAGCUUGCUCCUUGGGUGACGAGUGGCGGACGGGUGAGUAAUGUCUGGGAAACUGCCCGAUGGAGGGGGAUAACUACUGGAAACGGUAGCUAAUACCGCAUAACGUCGCAAGACCAAAGAGGGGGACCUUCGGGCCUCUUGCCAUCGGAUGUGCCCAGAUGGGAUUAGCUAGUAGGUGGGG